rnacentral:rRNA from 1 species
UACAGAGGUCUCGAGCGUUAGGCGGAAUCACUGGGCUUAAAGCGUGUGUAGGCGGAUCGGUAAGUACCUUGUGAAAUCCCACAGCUUAACUGUGGAACUGCUUGGUAUACUGCCGGUCUUGAGCCAGCUAGGGGCUACCGGAACAAAUGGUGGAGCGGUGAAAUGCGUAGAUAUCAUUUGGAACGCCAAUGGUGAAAACAGGUAGCUGGGGCUGUGCUGACGCUGAGACACGAAAGCGUGGGGAUCAAACAGG